CAGCUUAUUCACUAUACAGCUACUUAUUGAUGGAAAACCCCAAAUAAUAGAAACAACUGCAAAGAUGGUUGAGUGCCUAAAUUCGAGUGAUCCAAUGAUCAGACACCAAUCUUACGGAAUCAUUGCUGAAGAACUGAAGAAUAGUGGGGCGAUAACCACACCAGGUACUAUUCAGUCGAAGACUUCCAUUGACAAAACCAU
rnacentral:lncRNA from 1 species